UUCGCUUCUCAGCCUAAUGGCUAAGAUCAAGUGUAGUAUCUGUUCUUAUUUCGGCUCAGCACCAUCUUUCAAUUGGUGACGGUGUUUUUAGAAAGCAAAAACAGCACAAGAUUAAAACCGUGACAGUGAAUAGAGGUUCUUAGCAUAGUUGCUUUUUCAGCAUCUCCUUUUACGUCGGAAAUCUUA